rnacentral:rRNA from 1 species
GUAAGGGAUAUUGGGCAAUGGGGGGAACCCUGACCCAGCCAUGCCGCGUGAGGGAAUGAGGCCCUACGGGUCGUGAACCUCUUUUAUCCGGGGACAAUACCCCGCACGAGAUGCGGGGUUGAGGGUACCGGAAGAAUAAGCAUCGGCUAACUCCGUGCCAGCAGCCGCGGUAAUACGGAGGAUGCGAGCGUUAUCCGGAUUCAUUGGGUUUAAAGGGUGCGCAGGCGGCCAAGCAAGUCAGCGGUGAAAGCCCGGGGCCCAACCCCGGAAGUGCCGUUGAUACUGUGUGGCUGGAAUGCGGUCGAGGCGGGCGGAACGUGGCGUGUAGCGGUGAAAUGCGUAGAUAUGCCACAGAACGCCGAUAGCGAAGGCAGCUCGCCAGGCCUGCAUUGACGCUCGGGCACGAAAGCGUGGGGAUCGAACAGGAUUAGAAACCCUAGUAGUCC